rnacentral:tRNA from 1 species
GCACUGUUAGUGUAGCGGUUAUCAUCCCAGCCUUCCAAGCUGGGGACCGGGGUUCGACUCCCCGACAGUGCA